rnacentral:lncRNA from 10 species
AUUCUGUGUGCUCUCCCAUAUUUCCCUGUCCCCUUUGCAGUUGGCUUGGGUCCAUUGGAUUAAUUUUGGUCAACAGGCUCUGAAGAAAAAUGACAUUUCAGGGAAUUAAGAGCACGUGUUCCUCCCUCUACCUUCUCUUUCUUCCCCCAGUGACCUUGGAGGCUACUUGUUGAUAAGUUGGUUGAAUCUGAAGAGCCCUUGGAUACGGAAGGCUGACUGUGUAUGGCUACUCUGAAGAAUGCAAGAAACAGUGUGUGAUACGCUUAGGGCUUAGCACAUUUUGGUACUCACUAAAUUUUCUCAACAUCUUCCUUCUACUUGCUCCUGGUACCCCUUAUUCAAGCACCAGCUGCCUUCUGCUCUCCCCAGCCUGCUAGAACACACCUGGGUAGGAACCCGCACUGUCCCUAAGCAAUGCCUCCUUCCAGCCUUCUCCCUCCACAUCUCAUCUUUAUCCCAAAACUUUGGAUAAACUGAAUCAUGCUCAUUUUAGUAUUCCUAACCUAAAAAUGACUCUCCAGCAAUGACAUUGAGAAGUGUUAAAAAUCUAGGUAUGUCAGGGCUGGGCACGGUGGCUCAGGCUGGUAAUUCCAGCACUUUGGGAGGAGCAGGCGGGUGGAUCACCUGAGGUCAGGAGAUCAAGACUAGCCUGACCAACAUGGUGAAACCCCAUCUCUACUGAAAAUACAAAAAUUAGCGGGGCGUGGUGGCACAUGCCUGUAAUCCCAGCUACUUGGGAGGCUGAGGCAGGAGAAUUGCUUGAACCCGGAAGGCGGAGGUUGCAGUGAGCCGAGAUCGCGCCACUGAACUCCAGCCUGGGCAACAGAGUGAGACUCGGUCUAAAACAACAACAACAACAACAAAAACAAACAAACAAAAAACCUUUGAACUUGAACUGGAAUUAUAAAAUUGACCUAGUGACCUGAGGCUCUCUCCAUCUCACUCACUUCCAGUCCUCUAGGUCCAGCUAUGACUGAGGUCAGCAGUCAGCCUGGGGUCCCCCACCCCAUCUCAGUUGAGGGCUCCCUCCGGGUGAAGAACAGCUUGGCACAGGCUCCCAGGCACACAAUCUCUUUCAUGUCAUGUGACAGGAUUGUGAUAUUUGCAGUUUUGUGGGACGAAAACACAUGCAACAAAACUUUGGCCAAGGGUUUAUUUCUGUGACAUGCUGAGCCACUUACCUUCUGCCCAGAACUAUAAGGUUAAAAUUUACUUUUAUGAUUUUGCAGCCAUCUAUGGAGCAUGUGGUAUGAGUCAGAAAUGGUGUUUUUGCCCAAUUCAGAGACUAGUGCAGAAGACAGACAAAGAAAAAGACAACUCAGGUCUAAUACAUUGUGCUUUUUGUGGGGAAGCGUGGGGUGCUGUAAGAAUACAAGAGACGGAUUAGUAACCAGUCCUUUCAGGGAGUUUAAGAACUUUCCAAAAAAUAACAACCUGAGACCUAGAGGACAAAUGAGAGUCAGGGAGAUAAAGAGCAGAUGGAGGUCACAAGAGAAUUUCCAGGGUUAGAAUGCCAGUGCCAGGGUCUGAAGGUAGAGAAACCAUGAGUAGUAACCCACCCAUCACCUAGAAGGGAAAAUGUACUGGGACAUAGUUCAAAGCACCAUCAUGCUACCUUUUGGGUUACAGGAAAAAAGGAUCUUAAUUGGCUAAGAAACAGGCCAUAAACAGGUUUUUAUUUUGUUCUACUUUGUUGUUUUUAUUGCACAACUUCUUAGACCCUUUAGAGUCCUUUUACAUGUUUAUCAACAAAUCCUGCGAUGGGCCUUUUUCCUCCCUGACAAGUACUUAGUGUGGCCCAUAGAGCCCAGAGAGGGUAGAGCCAUAUUGGUGAAAGGGCUCAGCUGGAGUACAGAGAACAAAGUGGAUGAGAACUCCAGCCAGCACUGGGGGGUCAUUUCUGUGGCUCCUUGAGCAGCCCUCGCCAGCACUCCUUGUACCAGCUUUCAGGGACGAACUGGCACUUGAUCAACCUUGUCAUCAAGACUGUGGCUCCUAUUCACAAUAGCAAAGACUUGGAACCAACCCAAAUGUCCAUCAAUGAUAGACUGGAUUAAGAAAAUGUGGCACAUAUGCACCAUGGAAUACUAUGC